rnacentral:rRNA from 1 species
UACGUAGGGUGCAAGCGUUUAAUCGGAAUUACUGGGCGUAAAGCGUGCGCAGGCGGCCAUGCAAGACAGAUGUGAAAUCCCCGGGCUCAACCUGGGAACUGCAUUUGUGACUGCAUGGCUAGAGUACGGCAGAGGGGGGAUGGAAUUCCGCGUGUAGCAGUGAAAUGCGUAGAUAUGCGGAGGAACACCGAUGGCGAAGGCAAUCCCCUGGGCCUGUACUGACGCUCAUGCACAAAAGCGUGGG